rnacentral:misc_RNA from 1 species
CAACCCUCACGCCCCUAGGGCGUGGUGUUGGGGAUCGGCCAGCGCCCGCGAGGGACGGCCGGCCCCUAAAUCUAGUGGCGGACCCGUCGUGGCCUCCCCUGCGAAGUAGUGAUAUUCCGCAUAGGAGAGCGACGAGCCCCUGCCGUUAAACCCCCAACUUUCUCAGG